GACGAACGCUGGCGGCGUGCUUAACACAUGCAAGUCGAACGAAGUGGCGAACGGGUGAGUAACGCGUAAUCAACCUGCCCUUCAGAGGGGGACAACAGUUGGAAACGACUGCUAAUACCGCAUAAUGAAGGAGGGGAUUGCGCGUGAUUAGCUAGUUGGAGGGGUAACGGCCCAACAAGGCCAUGAUCAGUAGCCGGUCUGAGAGGAUGAACGUGCAUCUUUGGACUGUGAAACGGCCCAGACUCCUACGGGAGGCAGCAGUGGGGAAUCGUCCGCAAUGGACGAAAGUCUGACGGAGCAACGCCGCGUGAGUGAGGACGGCCUUCGGGGUGUAAAGCUCUGUUAAUCGGGACGCGGUACCGGAAUAGAAAGCCACGGCUAACUACGUGCCAGCCGCCGCGGUAAUAC
rnacentral:rRNA from 1 species